AUACGUAGGUGGCGAGCGUUGUCCGGAAUUACUGGGCGUAAAGGAUGCGUAGGUGGAUAUUUAAGUGGGAUGUGAAAUCCCCGGGCCCAACCCGGGAACUGCAUUCCAAACUGGGUAUCUAGAGUGCAGGAGAGGAAAGCGGAAUUCCUAGUGUAGCGGUGAAAUGCGUAGAUAUUAGGAGGAACACCAGUGGGGAAGGCGGCUUUCGGGCCUGUAACUGACACUGAGGCAUGAAAGCGUGGGUAGCAAACAGGAUUAGAUACCCUGGUAGUCCACGCCGUAAACGAUGGGUACUAGGUGUAGGAGGUAUCGACCCCUUCUGUGCCGUCGUUAACACAAUAAGUACCCCGCCUGGGGAGUACGGUCGCAAGACUAAAACUCAAAUGAAUUGACGGGG
rnacentral:rRNA from 1 species